UGUCAAUGAUGAAUAAAAUACAGACAAGCAUAUGUCUGAAUCUUAUGUGUUGCCAUCUUAAUUUUCUGAGAAAC
rnacentral:snoRNA from 1 species